GGAUAGAGUUAAGAGUAUAACGUCAAACUUUAGUGGAUUCAGUUCUUAUAUCAACAAUCCCUUAUGUUUGUGAGAAAUGAAAACAGGCCUGCAAGAAAGAGCUGACCUCAAAGGCCUAGUCUGCUGAGGAGGCCAAGGCACAAGCCUCUGGGGAAUCAUUGACUUGCUGGGAUGAUAUCAAGGCACAGGCUGGAGCUGCAAGCACCAGCAUGUCCCUGCGGCCCCUAGACAGAGGAGCGAUCAGGGAAGCUCCACAAGCUGCCCCCACCCACAGCGCCAGCUCCGCAGCUCCCAUUGGCCAGGAACCACGGCCAACGGGAGCUGCAGGGUGGCGCUGGGGCAGGGGUAGCGCACACCACACAGAACCGCCUGGCUCCUCCACCUAUG